rnacentral:rRNA from 1 species
UGGGGAAUAUUGCACAAUGGGGGAAACCCUGAUGCAGCGACGCCGCGUGAGCGAAGAAGGCUUUCGAGUCGUAAAGCUCUGUCCUAUGAGAAGAUAAUGACGGUAUCAUAGGAGGAAGCCCUGGCUAAAUACGUGCCAGCAGCCGCGGUAAUACGUAUGGGGCGAGCGUUGUCCGGAAUUAUUGGGCGUAAAGGGUACGUAGGUGGUUUUUUAAGUCAGGUGUCAAAGCGUGGAGCUUAACUCCAUUAAGCACUUGAAACUGAAAGACUUGAGUGAAGGAGAGGAAAGUGGAAUUCCUAGUGUAGCGGUGAAAUGCGUAGAUAUUAGGAGGAAUACCGGUGGCGAAGGCGACUUUCUGGACUUUUACUGACGCUCAGGUACGAAAGCGUGGGGGGCAAACAGG